rnacentral:rRNA from 1 species
UCCAGAUCUGAGUUUGAUCCUGGCUCAGGAUGAACGCUGGCGGCGUGCCUAAUACAUGCAAGUCGAGCGAGGUUCUUCGGAACCUAGCGGCGGACGGGUGAGUAACACGUGGGUAACCUGCCUGUAAGACCGGGAUAACUUCGGGAAACCGAAGCUAAUACCGGAUACUUUCGAGCAUCGCAUGAUGCUUGAUGGAAAGACGGCUUCGGCUGUCACUUACAGAUGGACCCGCGUCGCAUUAGCUAGUUGGUGAGGUAACGGCUCACCAAGGCGACGAUGCGUAGCCGACCUGAGAGGGUGAUCGGCCACACUGGGACUGAGACACGGCCCAGACUCCUACGGGAGGCAGCAGUAGGGAAUCUUCGGCAAUGGGCGAAAGCCUGACCGAGCAACGCCGCGUGAGCGAUGAAGGCCUUCGGGUCGUAAAGCUCUGUUGUUAAGGAAGAACAAGUACGAGAGUAACUGCUCGUACCUUGACGGUACUUAACGAGAAAGCCACGGCUAACUACGUGCCAGCAGCCGCGGUAAUACGUAGGUGGCGAGCGUUAUCCGGAAUUAUUGGGCGUAAAGCGCGCGCAGGCGGUUUCUUAAGUCUGAUGUGAAAGCCCACGGCUCAACCGUGGAGGGUCAUUGGAAACUGGGAAACUUGAGUGCAGAAGAGGAAAGCGGAAUUCCACGUGUAGCGGUGAAAUGCGUAGAGAUGUGGAGGAACACCAGUGGCGAAGGCGGCUUUCUGGUCUGUAACUACGCUAGGCGC